UUUCUUGGGUUUUCAAAAAGGGUCUUUGCAAAAAUGCCUUUUCUUGAGCAUGGAGCAGUGGCUAAUAAAUGAAAAAGUACUAGGAUUUCAGUUUCCAUUUGCUGAACUUCAGCAUCUUCCCAGGCAUGCUUCCAGAAAAGCACAAUAAUAGAGUGGUUAAACCCAGAGACGCUACCACAAAUAUCUCACUGUCCAAUAUUGGAUACAAGGACAUAUCUGCUUCAGCACUCUAGCUAUAAAAUACUGGCUUAAUCUCCCCGGAUUGAUGCUACCUCAGUUAUUUUAGUCUUAACAGGUUUCUAGCUGUCUGAGGGAUGGAGACCAAACUGCCCCUGAUGUAAAAUAGAAGGAAUCCUACACAAAUGAGGAUAUUUACCUUAUUUGCAUUUUAGCUCAUUAACUAGGGUAAAACCCUGGCUCGCUGCCUCUGUGACAAGGCAAACUAAAUGAUUUCCUUGUCAUUGCAGAUUUUGGAGCUCCAGGCUCAUUCCUCAGACCUUAGGCAAUGUUGGAAAGACAGUUGGAGGUGCCCCAUCCCCAUUUCCACCCCUAGGUGUGGAAAGACCAUGCUGUGCCUGGGGACAUCGGGAGCCCCUGGUGUCAGUGAGGAAGUUUUUGGCCAGAGUUCAAGACAAGAUCCUGGGUUUAGUGGAUUUGCACCAAUACAGCGAUUUUCGUGUUCUUCUGACACAGGAAAUCAAAGAGACGUUCUCUUGUGAAGACGGAUGUAAUGAGCAAGGCAUCAUGCAUGAGUGAUUUCUGCUUUACAUCCUGAUUCAAGCUAAACAUUUAAUGAUGAAGCCUAGAGUUCAGAAAUUGAAGGAUGGAAAAAUAAAAACCCCAAACUUG